GGGGGGAGACGAGAGACACGCGGCACAGUUGGCAGUGCCGUAGUGGCUCGGACGCAGCACACACACGGGGCCCAGCGGGGAGACGUCCCGUUCCAACCCCGAUCCCCGCGAGCCUACCGGCGUUUAGUGCCGUGGCAGGGAAUUCCCGAAGACCGGAUCCACGUGUCGACGUGGUGUGGUACCUGGGAUACCACUCUCCCCAGCCUUCCAAUACGUCAGAUGGAUAUACAAGAAAGCAUAAGUCGGGACACAAAAAGAGGAAGAACCAAUAAAAAAAAGGAUUAAGCAUUGAAACAAAUCAAGAGACCUAUUCUGAAGUUCAUGAACAAGAACGUGGAGAGUGGUAGAGCAAAUCCGCCAAUGGAAUCAUCACCAUUAAUUAUGCAAUUGGAUCAUGAUAAUAGUGAAACUUGUGAACAUAUUGGUCUUGAAGCAGAAUCUCAUUCGCAAGUAGAGGGUAGAUCAAGUGAAGAAACAGGUUUAUACCCAUUUGGAAGCAGAUCAUUUGGUGAAAUAAUCACAGACUCCAAAGCUAACAUCAGAUGCUGACUUUACUAGUAGGCCUGCCAGCGAUCCUGCACUCUGGACAGAAGUCACUGCAGAUUUGGAGAUGGAAAACGGCAAAAUGCAUAUGCCAGAUUGAAUGAUCGAUUCAGUUUAUUUGUAGAUAGAUCACUAUCCACAGUAUAAAUUGUUAUACUGGCCAAUGCUUUGGUUGCUGCAUAUACAGCAGCUCUUGGAAAAUAAUUCACCAAUGAAUUCCUGUUGUUCCUGCAUUUAUAUGCAGAUAAAAAUAAUAGUGACAAAUAUGCUCAAAGCCCAAAUAUCUUAUUAUUUGAUUAGCAGCUUUCUGAAUGUUUACAUUGCUCUAAGGAUGUAUUUUGCUAUUUUGGGAACGAAUUGUGAAAGGGAGGGUUCUUUUUCUAAACUAAAGCUACAAAAAAACUGUCUCCGAUCAACACCAUUUGAUGGUCUUAUUGCUAAUUUUGCAAUAAAAAUCUCGAAAGUUAA